UCCCUCAGGGCUCAAGCUGAGUUUACCCUUCUGGCUAAUACGGCAACAUGUCAUUUUGUUCGAUGUCUAUUCUUGCUUGCUGGUGGUGAUAUGACGAGUGUCUUCUUUUUCGUUGGCGGUCAAUUUUAUCAAAUACUCUUAUACAAUUUUAUUUUUUAGUAGUUUUGGGCACUCGAAAGUCUGGUUGCCUAACCACGUGCUAUUCAUUUUGGUGUUUGGCCCUCCCAAGGAGGUAACAUAUACAUGUUGCUCAUACUGGAUUUUCUUUUAUAACUUGGUCUAUGUAACCUAUUUUAGAGUAUAUAAAGCCUGGGCCACGAGUCCUUCCGUUUAAAAGGGAUAUAAAUAGUUCUAAAAAAAGGGAUAUAAACCAUCCAGCCAAACGUCAUUCCACAAGGAACAAUCACCUAGAUUUUCUGUGCAUGUUGUAACUCCUUUGUAAAUAAUAAACAUGGCUAAUUAAUUGACGCGGUUAGCUGAGUUCCUGUUAGGAUGUUGUAGUAUCCAAAUAUGUUCAAGUUCGUUCAAAAAAAAAUCUGGCUAGGUGAGUGCAAGUUUGUUUGGCUUCAGAGUCACAGAGUAAUGCAGAAUGUGUCCUUGCGUAAUUUUCAUACGUUAUGAGACAUCUGCGUUGUUUCCUUACGGGUGGAGCCUCAGCCUCAUUUCGUCCAAACCAAGUUAUAAAAUACUCCAGCAAUAAUGCCCUUUAGUUGUCACUUACAAAAGAUGAAAAGAGCUCAGUUCAGCAACCUAUUUUUGUAACUGAUUCAUACUGCUGACUGAACUUAAUAAAGCUUACAAAUGAAUAGAAGGAUAGAUCACAGCAGACGAAAUUCUAUAAAGUGGCUAAGUUGCAACUUAUGUAUAAAAGCAAAAUUGCUAUGUUUUCCUGAAUUUUCUUAGUCGGAUUUCCGUUGCAGUGAGCAAGAAAAGAACGUCUGCAACGAGGCGGAUCAUAUUGAGUGGUGUAAGAUCGAUGAUUGUAUGAGAAAUCCUCUGGCUGGCUUCUGAAGAAACUGAUGUCAUGUUCACAUGUUAGAACAUGGAUAGGUACUUCUGGAUUGUCCCUAAAUCCUGGGCAGAGGCAUACCAAAGAAUUUCUUCUGAUUGGUUAUCAUUUCUACACUCACCUGCAUGGUUAAAAUUCAGGUUUAGCUGGUUGAGCCUCCAAAAUAUGCAGUCGCGGGGA